GUAAUUCACAUGCUGUACAAUUUACCCAUUUAAAGAAUAUUUACUUGGCCUCAUGAGGUCUUGGUUGCAGCAUGCCAGAUCUUCGUUGCAUUAUGCAGAGGCUUUCAUUGUGGUGCACACACUUUCUAGUAGUGCUGAGUGGGCUCAGCAGUUGCAGCACCAUGGGCUCAGUUGCUUUAGGACUUGGGGGAAUCUUAGUUCCCUGACCAGGGAUCAAACCCAUAUCCUCUGAAUUGCAUGUGCUCUGAAGUUCCCAAUUCACCCAUUUAAUAAUAAUUCAGUGGCUCUUAGUAUAUUCACAAAGCUGUACAUCCAUCCUCAAUUUAUUCUAGAGCACAUGUACAUUACUCCAAAAAGAAAUCUUGCUCAUUUUGGUUGUCUACCCCCAACCCCCACCCUUCUCUAGGCCUAGGCAACCACUCAUAUACUUACUAUCCCUGUGAUGGUAAGUAGAUGAGUGGGCUUCCCUGAUAUCUCAGUUGGUAAAGAAUCUGCCUGCAAUGCAGGAGACCCCAGUUCGAUUCCUGGGUCAGGAAGAGCCCCUGAGGGAAAGGCUACCCUACCCACUCCAGCAUUCUUGGGUUUCCCUUGUGGCUCAGUUGGUGAAGAAUUUGUCCACAACGUGGGAGGCCUGGGUUGGGAAGAUCCCCUAGAGAGGGGAAAGGCUACCCAUUGCAGUACUCUGGUCUGGAGAAUUCCAUGGACCAUAUAGUCCAUGGGGUCACAAAGAGCCAGACGUGACUGAGCGCCUGUCACUGUCCCUGUAGAUCUACGUAUUCUGGAUGUCUCAUGUGCACAGCAUCAGGCAGCACGUGGUCCUUGUGUGUCUGGUGUCUUUCAAUUAGGUUUUCAGCAUUAUCCAUGUUGUAGCAUGUAUUAGUACUUCAUUCUGUUAUUAGGUAAUUAAUGGGUUAUACAGAUGUUAUCACAUUGUACUUAUUCAUUCAUCAGUUGACAAACAUUUGGGUGGUUUUCACAACUCAUUUUUUUAAAAUAUGCAGACCUGAACCAGACAUUUCAUUGAAAAAAUAUACAAAUGGUCCGUAAGUACAAGAAAAGGUGCUCACUAUCACUAGUCAUUGUUGUUGUUCUUUAGUCACUACGUCUCUCUUGUGGCCCUACGCACUGUAGCCCACCGGGCUCCUCUGUCCUUGGAUUUCCCAGGCAAGAAUAGUGGAUUGGGACACUAUUUCCUUCUCCAGUUUCCAGUUAAAGAUGAAAUUCCUUAACAUAGCCCAUAAGGCGCUUGUAACUGUGCUGGAACUUACCUCUUCAGAUUUCUGUUGUAUAGACUUUGCUUCCUAAUGGUUACCACACUUUUGCUGAUCAGGGGCCUUUACAUAUGCGGUUUCCUCAACUUGGAAUAGCAGUUGCCCCGCUCCACCCAGCCCCUAAAGUCAGCCACUAUUUACGUUUUCAAAGUACCCUGUACUCGUCCCUCUGCAGUGCUUACAGCGAAAAUCACAUCUCAUUCAUCAAAAUCCUGGAACUUUUAGUGUGAGAUGCCUGUGGCACUUUAAAAUGGUCUAUAAUGAGAAUUUGGUCUUGGUGGAUAAAAGGAAUUUUGUACCCCCACAUGGAGUUUUUAAACUGAGGUUUAGAAAUAAACCUGUUUCAAC
ensembl:lncRNA